rnacentral:rRNA from 1 species
CAAUUCUGGUUGAUCCCGCCAGAGGCAAUCGCUAUCCGAUUCGGACUAAGCCAUGCGAGCCGCGAGGUGCAAGACCUCGGCGAACUGCUCCGUAAUACGCAGUCAACCUGCCCUGUUCAGGGGGAUAAACUCGGGAAACUGAGCUCAAUACCCCAUAGUCCUUCCUUGCUGGAAUGCUGGGAGGACCAAAGCUACGGCGGAACAGGAUGGGACUGCGGCUGAUUAGGCUGUUGUCGGUGUAAUGAACCGACAAACCGUUGAUCAGUAGGGGCUAUGAAAGUAGGAGCCUCGAGAUGGACUCUGAGACAUGAGUCCAGGUUCUACGGAACGCAGCAGGCGCGAAACCUUUGCAAUGCGUGAAAGCGCGACAAGGCGAGUCGGAGUGCAGUCGUUUAAACGACUGCUUUUGCUAACUGAAAACGGGUUAGUGAAUAAGGGCUGGGUAACACGAGUGCCAGCCGCCGCGGUAAUACUCGGAGCCCGAGUGAUUGCCGCUAUUAUUGGGUCUAAAGCGUCCGUAGCCGGUUCUAUAAGUCCCUGGUGAAAUCUGGCAGCAAACUGUCAGGCGUGCUGGGGUUACUGUAAGACUUGAGACCGGGAGAGGGUAUAGAUACUCGUAGGGUAGGGGUUAAAUCCUAUAAUCCUACGGGGAUCACCUGUGGCGAAGGCGUAUACCUGGAACGGGUCUGACGGUGAGGGACGAAAGCUAGGGGAGCGAUCGGGAUUAGAUACCCCGGUAGUCCUAGCCGUAAACGAUGCCCACUUGGUGUUGCAGUCCUCUUGGGGGAUUGCAGUGCCGAAGCGUAGGUGUUAAGUGGGCCACCUGGGGAGUAUACUCGCAAGGGUGAAACUUAAGGGAAUUGGCGGGGGAGCACACAAAGGGUGGGCGUUGCGGUUCAAUUGGAUUCAACGCCGGAAAUCUUACCAAGAUCGACAGCAGGAUGAAGGUCAGUCUAAAGGGCUUACCACACAAGCUGAGAGGUAGUGCAUGGCCAUCGUCAGCUCGUACCGUGAGGCGUGCCGUUAAGUCGGUUAACGAGCGAGACCCGUGCCGUAUGUUGCAAACCUUUCCCACGGGGAGGGCGCACUCAUGCGGGACCGCUGCUGAUAAAGCAGAGGAAGGAACGGGCGACGGUAGGUCUGUAUGCUCCGAACUUCUUGGGCUACACGCGACGCACAAUGCGCGCCACAAUGGGAUGCAACGCCGAAAGGCGAAGCAAACCCCCUAAAAGCGCGCCGAGUCCCGAUUGAGGGUUGUAACUCACCCUCAUGAAGCCGGAAUCCUUAGUAGGCGAACGUCAUCAAGCGCAAGCGGCUGUUUAAUGAAGCCAAAUGCACUACUCUGACACACAUGAAGAGUCACAGCAUUCGAAAUCAGUCGCGCGCGUGAAAUCGUUCGCCGAAUACGUCCCUGCUCCUUGCACACACCGCCCGUCAAGCCAAUCGAGUGAAGGAUCAUCGAGGACCGCAAGGUUCAAGUUGACCCUCUGCAAGAGGGGCUAAGUCGCCACAAGGUAGCCGUACGGGAACGUGCGGCUGGAUCACCUCCU